rnacentral:lncRNA from 1 species
UUUCAUGAAAGACAGAAAAAAAGAGUAAUAAAAAAAAGUCUUUCAUUUACCAUAUGUAACUCACGGAUAUUUGUCAAUGCAGGUUUAUCAAUAUACAGUCCACUCUCCUUUCAUAUGUGACAAGGAAGCAAGCAAACAGUGGAGAACGGCAGUAGAUACGAUGCAGAUAAGCAGGAACGAAAAAUUAAGGACAAAAAGACAGUGCAGUUUCUAAAAACUCAGAUUGUGCACUUCAAAAUAAUACCAUAAAGGCUCCUCAUUUUAAUCAAUUACCGAUUAUCCUUUGGGGACUUUCCACCAAUUCCACUUGAUGCUGCUUUUAAAGUGACUUUUAUGGAGUCUACUCAGGCGCUGAUCUUUACAUGGAAAUAACAGAAAAUUCCAAGAAAUGGAAGCCACUGCUAGUAAAAGAAGAAAAGCUGAGUAUCAUCAGGGUUAAUAGCUCCUAUGUGAGAUCCAUGAAUGAUUACAGAGUUACUUUUAUAUAUCGAACUUUCACUUUUCAUUAAUAAUAUGCUGCCUCUUUGGGACAUAGGUGCGCUCAUGGUACAAAGGCUAUUUAUUCAUCACAUGGA